rnacentral:rRNA from 1 species
UACAGAGGGGGCAAGCGUUGUUCGGAAUUACUGGGCGUAAAGGGCGCGUAGGCGGCCUUCUAAGUCGAACGUGAAAUCCCCGGGCUCAACCCGGGAACUGCGUCCGAUACUGGAAGGCUUGAAUCCGGGAGAGGGAUGCGGAAUUCCAGGUGUAGCGGUGAAAUGCGUAGAUAUCUGGAGGAACACCGGUGGCGAAGGCGGCAUCCUGGACCGACAUUGACGCUGAGGCGCGAAAGCCAGGGGAGCAAACGGG